AUUGAACGCUGGCGGCAUGCUUUACACAUGCAAGUCGAACGGUAACAGGUUAAGCUGACGAGUGGCGAACGGGUGAGUAAUGCAUCGGAACGUGCCCGGUCGUGGGGGAUAACGCAGCGAAAGCUGCGCUAAUACCGCAUACGAUCUGAGGAUGAAAGCGGGGGACCGUAAGGCCUCGCGCGAUCGGAGCGGCCGAUGUCAGAUUAGGUAGUUGGUGGGGUAAAGGCUCACCAAGCCAACGAUCUGUAGCUGGUCUGAGAGGACGACCAGCCACACUGGGAGUGAGGCACGGCACAGACUCCUACGCGAUGCAGCAGUGGGGAAUUUUGGACAAUGGGCGAAAGCCUGAUCCAGCAAUGCCGCGUGGAGGAAGAAGGCCUUAGGGUUGUAAACUGCUUUUGUACGGAGCGAAAAGGUCUCCUCUAAUACAGGGGGCUCAUGACGGUACCGUAAGACUAAGCACCGGCUAACUACGUGCCAGCCGCCGCCGUAA
rnacentral:rRNA from 1 species